UAAAACUCCCCGAAAUGACAAUGUAAAACAAGAAAACUAACGGCCUUAUGUACAAAAUAUGAACAAAAAAGAAAUAUGUAACACAUAAACAAACGACAACCACUGAAUAACAGGCUCCUGACUUGGCAAAAAAUAAAAAUAUAACAAUGAUUUACAUGCAAAUGACAUGUCAACCACAACCAUGAAUGUGAUGAAAGCUUAAGCUUAUAUUAUUGUAUAUCCAUUCAUUUUCUUGAUAUUUUAUAAUGUGUCUACAAAUAAUGCUCUAUCAAAAAUAAGAGAAC
rnacentral:lncRNA from 1 species